rnacentral:rRNA from 1 species
UACGAAGGGGGCUAGCGUUGCUCGGAAUCACUGGGCGUAAAGCGCACGUAGGCGGAUUUUUAAGUCAGGGGUGAAAUCCUGGAGCUCAACUCCAGAACUGCCUUUGAUACUGGGAAUCUCGAGUCCGGGGAGAGGUGAGUGGAACUCCGAGUGUAGAGGUGAAAUUCGUAGAUAUUCGGAAGAACACCAGUGGCGAAGGCGGCUCACUGGCCCGGUACUGACGCUGAGGUGCGAAAGCGUGGGGAGCAAACAGG